CCUACGGGUGACAGCAGUGGGGAAUAUUGGGCAAUGGGCGCAAGCCUGACGCAGCGACGCCGCGUGAAGGAAGAAGGCUUUCGGAUUGUAAACUUCUUUUCUCAGGGACGAAGCAAGUGACGGUACCUGAGGAAUAAGCCACGGCUAACUACGUGCCAGCAGCCGCGGUAAUACGUAGGUGGCAAGCUUUAAACGGGUUUACUGGGUGUAAAGGGCGUGGAGGCGGGAAGGCAAGUCAGCGGUGAAAACCCUGGGCUCAACCUGUGGCCUGCAUUUGAAACUGGUUUGCUUGAGUACUGGAGAGGCAGACGGAAUUUCUAGUGUAGGGGUGAAAUGCGUAGAUAUUAGGAGGAACACCAGUGGCGAAGGCGGUCUGCUGGACAGCAACUGACGCUGAGGCGCGAAAGCGUGGGGAGCAAACAGGAUUAGAUACCCGUGUAGUC
rnacentral:rRNA from 1 species